GAUAGCCAUCUGCUUCUUCGUAUCUUCUCCAGAUAUUAAAUCAGAAUUUAUUGCUUGUGCUUUGCUUUUCAUGGAGUGCAAGUUUGGCUAUUCUUUUACAUCU